UGAGGUGGAUAUGUCUCGCACUAGUUGUUCAAAUAAUUGGAGGCAAUCAAUUACCUCCGGAUAUUCAAAAGUGUCGUUAUGAGGAUGAAAAGUGCCUCCUGCGAACCAGUAAUGCUGUGAUCAAGCGUUAUGGAAAAACAGGUGUUCCGGAACUCUCACUGCCACCUUUAAACGUUUUUAAAGGCAAGAACAGUGAGCUUGGUGCGGGUGAUCCCAAUGGAUCCCUCUGGUUUAAGUGGUUUCUGACUAAUCAUUGGGUUUAUGGAAUCGAAAAUGUUACUAUCUCCCGAAUCCGUGGUUUUAAGACAGACCCUUCCCGAUCCCAGGUGGAGAUUCACGGAAGGACUCCCAGCUUGCGGUCCAAACUUCACUUCGAGUUCUUAUCGAAAUUUCUUAGCUUACAUGUGAAUGCAUCGGGUGAGGCAGAUGGCGACUUUCAGAACUUUCGGUUCAUUACAAAAUUCUCGCUCUCACCUGAAAAAGAAGGCUUCGUGAAGAUUUACAAUCUGGACUUGAGAAUUGAAAUAGAUCGUUGGAUACAGGACAUACAAAAUUUGUUUGUGAGCAAUACAGAUCUGA